rnacentral:rRNA from 1 species
AUGAACGCUAGCGACAGGCUUAACACAUGCAAGUCGAGGGGCAGCACAGGUAGCAAUACCGGGUGGCGACCGGCGCACGGGUGAGUAACGCGUAUGCAACUUACCUAUCAGAGGGGGAUAACCCGGCGAAAGUCGGACUAAUACCGCAUGAAGCAGGGGCCCCGCAUGGGGAUAUUUGCUAAAGAUUCAUCGCUGAUAGAUAGGCAUGCGUUCCAUUAGGCAGUUGGCGGGGUAACGGCCCACCAAACCGACGAUGGAUAGGGGUUCUGAGAGGAAGGUCCCCCACAUUGGUACUGAGACACGGACCAAACUCCUACGGGAGGCAGCAGUGAGGAAUAUUGGUCAAUGGCCGAGAGGCUGAACCAGCCAAGUCGCGUGAGGGAUGAAGGUUCUAUGGAUCGUAAACCUCUUUUAUAAGGGAAUAAAGUGCGGGACGUGUCCCGUUUUGUAUGUACCUUAUGAAUAAGGAUCGGCUAACUCCGUGCCAGCAGCCGCGGUAAUACGGAGGAUCCGAGCGUUAUCCGGAUUUAUUGGGUUUAAAGGGUGCGUAGGCGGCCUUUUAAGUCAGCGGUGAAAGUCUGUGGCUCAACCAUAGAAUUGCCGUUGAAACUGGGGGGCUUGAGUAUGUUUGAGGCAGGCGGAAUGCGUGGUGUAGCGGUGAAAUGCAUAGAUAUCACGCAGAACCCCGAUUGCGAAAGCAGCCUGCCAAGCCAUGACUGACGCUGAUGCACGAAAGCGUGGGGAUCAAACAGGAUUAGAUACCCUGGUAGUCCACGCAGUAAACGAUGAUCACUAGCUGUUUGCGAUACACUGUAAGCGGCACAGCGAAAGCGUUAAGUGAUCCACCUGGGGAGUACGCCGGCAACGGUGAAACUCAAAGGAAUUGACGGGGGCCCGCACAAGCAGUGGAGUAUGUGGUUUAAUUCGACGCAACGCGAAGAACCUUACCAGGUCUUGACAUCCUUCUGACCGCACCUUAAUCGGUGCUUUCCUUCGGGACAGAAGAGACAGGUGGUGCAUGGUUGUCGUCAGCUCGUGUCGUGAGAUGUUGGGUUAAGUCCCGCAACGAGCGCAACCCCUAUCCUCAGUAGCCAGCAUUUAAGGUGGGCACUCUGGGGAGACUGCCAGGGAUAACCUGGAGGAAGGCGGGGAUGACGUCAAAUCAUCAUGCCCCUUAUGAUUUGGGCUACACACGUGUUACAAUGGCGUGGACAAAGGGAGGCCACCUGGUGACAGGGAGCGAAUCCCCAAACCACGUCUCAGUUCGGAUCGGAGUCUGCAACCCGACUCCGUGAAGCUGGAUUCGCUAGUAAUCGCGCAUCAGCCAUGGCGCGGUGAAUACGUUCCCGGGCCUUGUACACACCGCCCGUCAAGCCAUGGGAGCCGGGGGUACCUGAAGUCCGUAACCGAAAGGAUCGGCCUAGGGUAAAACUGGUGACUGGGGCU